rnacentral:misc_RNA from 1 species
UCUCGGUGGAUAAUCUGCUUCUCUGCAUAUGUGUGGAGAUAAGUUAAUGCAUGUGCAACAUCAAUGGAUAUUUCAAGCCUUUGAUUAAAGUCCAGAAUUCUUCCACGCUGACCAUCCAAAUGUUCUCUAAGAGUACCAUUUGGCACAUACUCAGUAAUAAUAAGGCGCUCAGUUCCUUUUUCAACAUAACCAAGUAAUUUCACCAGAUUCCGAUGAUCAAUUUUUGCCAGAAGCUCAACUUCACUGCUGAAUUCAGU